rnacentral:rRNA from 1 species
UACAGAGGUCUCGAGCGUUGUUCGGAUUCAUUGGGCGUAAAGGGUGCGUAGGUGGCUAGGUAAGUCGGAUGUGAAAUCCCGGGGCUCAACCCCGGAACUGCAUUCGAUACUGCCUGGCUAGAGUACUGGAGAGGAGAUUGGAAUUUACGGUGUAGCAGUGAAAUGCGUAGAUAUGCGGAGGAACACCGAUGGCGAAGGCAAUCCCCUGGGCCUGCACUGACGCUCAUGCACGAAAGCGUGGGGAGCAAACAGG